rnacentral:piRNA from 1 species
GAGGAAGUGGCCACUUUGAUUCUGGG